GUUUUAAGGGAUACGGCAAUUAACGGGUUAAUCCGAAGCAUCAAGACUUUGAAAUCACAUACACAGAACAAUAUUCAUUAAGAAAGUGAAAUUAAAUGAUUAAUAAACUAUUUAUUCGAACCCUUGCUAUUUUCUAUUCUAAUAAAAGUCUUGGCUGUGGAACAUCUGUAAUAGAGUUGGCUAGCUGGAUGCAAAUAAAGUCAUGCCUUUUAUUUUUUCCCCUGUUUGCUAUUUCACAUUCCUGUCACUGAAGCGUUGUGGCCAAAGACACAGAAGGCAACUGAAACAAUGUGGUUUAAGUCAAGGUGAUUAUUAGGGGUCCAAGCACAUUGGUUUGUGUAGAUGAUGCAGUUACACAAUGAACGUGUCUCUUUUCAAGUAAAUUAUGAGUCCUUAUGUGAGUACUAUUAUAUGCACAACAUGAAAAUAGAUAACUAAUAUAGUGUCCCUUCUACACUUUUUCAGUAAUGUGUGAUAACUUGAGAAAUAUGUUGUCAAUACAAUUAAAAUAACAAAGUAAUGGUAUUUAGGAGAUGAUAGCUUUUGCAUAAUUACUAUAUUGGGCUUUAUUAAAGUUUAUGAAAAAAGAAUGAAUGUUUAUGCAUUUUUUAUUUAUGCACAUAAAUUAAACAUUUUCAAGUCUUUGAACAGAUCUUGAAGUAUUUG
ensembl:lncRNA